rnacentral:rRNA from 1 species
UGGGGAAUUUUGGGCAAUGGGCGAAAGCCUGACCCAGCAACGCCGCGUGAAGGAUGAAGUAUUUCGGUAUGUAAACUUCGAAAGAAUAGGAAGAAUCAAUGACGGUACUAUUUAUAAGGUCCGGCUAACUACGUGCCAGCAGCCGCGGUAAUACGUAGGGACCAAGCGUUGUUCGGAUUUACUGGGCGUAAAGGGCGCGUAGGCGGCGCGGUAAGUCACUUGUGAAAUCUCUGAGCUUAACUCAGAACGGCCAAGUGAUACUGCAGUGCUAGAGUGCGGAAGGGGCAAUCGGAAUUCUUGGUGUAGCGGUGAAAUGCGUAGAUAUCAAGAGGAACACCUGAGGUGAAGACGGGUUGCUGGGCCGACACUGACGCUGAGGCGCGAAAGCCAGGGGAGCAAACGGGAUUAGAUACCCCAGUAGUCCCUGAGCGGGCUGGCAAGGCGCAU